rnacentral:misc_RNA from 1 species
UUAAGUUCAGCGGGUAUCCCUACCUGAUCCGAGGUCAACCUGAAUAAAUUGGGGGUUGCUGGCGAGCACGCACCCGGUCCUCCGAAGCGAGAAGUAGUUACUACGCUUGAAGCCGAAUGGCGCCGCCACUGAUUUUGGGGCCUGCCGGAGACCGGCAGCGCCCAAUACCAAGCAGUGCUUGAGGGUUGUAAUGACGCUCG